rnacentral:rRNA from 1 species
UACGAAGGGGGCUAGCGUUGCUCGGAAUCACUGGGCGUAAAGCGCACGUAGGCGGGUUUUAAGUCAGGGGUGAAAUCCUGGAGCUCAACUCCAGAACUGCCUUUGAUACUGAAGAUCUUGAGUCCGGGAGAGGUGAGUGGAACUGCGAGUGUAGAGGUGAAAUUCGUAGAUAUUCGCAAGAACACCAGUGGCGAAGGCGGCUCACUGGCCCGGUACUGACGCUGAGGCACGAAAGCGUGGGGAGCAAACAGG